GGCGCGUUCGUCUAGUGGCCUAGGACGUCGGAUUCUCAUUCCGAAAAUCACGGGUUCAACUCCCGUACGCGCUACUA
rnacentral:tRNA from 1 species